UACAGAGGGGGCAAGCGUUGUUCGGAAUUACUGGGCGUAAAGGGCGCGUAGGCGGCCAACUAAGUCGGACGUGAAAUCCCCGGGCUCAACCCGGGAACUGCGUCCGAUACUGGAUGGCUUGAAUCCGGGAGAGGGAUGUGGAAUUCCGGGUGUAGUGGUGGAAUGCGUAGAGAUCCGGAGGAACACCAGUGGCGAAGGCGGCUGCCUGGGCCUGGCCUGACGCUGAGGCGCGAAAGCGUGGGGAGCAAUCCGG
rnacentral:rRNA from 1 species